rnacentral:rRNA from 1 species
GACGAACGCUGGCGGCGUGCUUAACACAUGCAAGUCGAACGAAGAGCGAUGGAAGCUUGCUUCUAUCAAUCUUAGUGGCGAACGGGUGAGUAACGCGUAAUCAACCUGCCCUUCAGAGGGGGACAACAGUUGGAAACGACUGCUAAUACCGCAUACGAUCUAAUCUCGGCAUCGAGGAUAGAUGAAAGGUGGCCUCUACAUGUAAGCUAUCACUGUAGGAGGGGAUUGCGUCUGAUUAGCUAGUUGGAGGGGUAACGGCCCACCAAGGCGAUGAUCAGUAGCCGGUCUGAGAGGAUGAACGGCCCCAUUGGGACUGAGACACGGCCCAGACUCCUACGGGAGGCAGCAGUGGGGAAUCUUCCGCAAUGGACGAAAGUCUGACGGAGCAACGCCGCGUGAGUGAUGACGGCCUUCGGGUUGUAAAGCUCUGUUAAUCGGGACGAAAGGCCUUCUUGCGAAUAGUGAGAAGGAUUGACGGUACCGGAAUAGAAAGCCACGGCUAACUACGUG